CAGUUCUCGAAGCUUUACGUGUGGUUCGAACUGAGGUGAUGCUGAGAGUAGUGAGGCGAAAGACGCCACAGAGAUGUGAGCGUUCUUGUGUGUGUGAGAUGCAGGCCUGCAGUCGCCGCGGACAGAAUCUUCACUGACGGUACUUGAGAAACGAGCGGCAAGAAUCGAGACCACAAAGGAGGAGCCGUGAGACGGCGAGUAGCGGCGGCUGUGUCUGAGGCGGCGCGGCGGCGUGUGUUAACCACCAAAGAAGAAGCGAUCAGUAUUGAGUGGCAGACAGCGUUCCUCUCAUGAAAGUUCCCUUCAAUAACCCAGGCGGUAAUCAGGAAGGACAGACGAUCCCUGCUGCAUAAAGAGACAGUGAUGGAGUGACGAAGGGCGGCAGAACACAGCAGGAUCCCACCAGGACACCGCCAGCACCCGCCAGGCACGUGUUCUUGCUUGUCU